GAUGAACGCUAGCGGCAGGCCUAACACAUGCAAGUCGAGGGAGAAGCCCUUUCGGGGGCCGAAACCGGCGCACGGGUGCGUAACGCGUAUGCAACCUACCUUUCACAGGGGGAUAGCCCGAAGAAAUUUGGAUUAAUACCCCAUAAUAUUAUUGGAUGGCAUCAUUUGAUAAUUAAAACUGCGGUGGUGAAAGAUGGGCAUGCGUCCUAUUAGCUAGUUGGAGUGGUAACGGCACCCCAAGGCUACGAUAGGUAGGGGUCCUGAGAGGGAGAUCCCCCACACUGGUACUGAGCCAGGGACCAGACUCCUACGGGAGGCAGCAGUGAGGAAUAUUGGUCAAUGGUCGGAAGACUGAACCAGCCAUGCCGCGUGCAGGAAGAAUGCCUUAUGGGUUGUAAACUGCUUUUAGAUGGGAAGAAUAAGGCGUACGUGUACGUUGAUGACGGUACCAUAUGAAUAAGCAUCGGCUAACUCCGUG
rnacentral:rRNA from 1 species